AUACUUACCUGAUAGGAGAGAUAACAUAAUUAUGAUGGUAGUUUUCUCAGAACAAAGCUUCUCUAUUGUACUCAAAGGUGCUGGCCAUUGCGAUUUUCCUGAAUUGUUUGUGGUAGUGUGUUCAAAUUCUCCCC
rnacentral:snRNA from 1 species